UACGAAGGGUGCAAGCGUUACUCGGAAUUACUGGGCGUAAAGCGUGCGUAGGCGGGUCUUUAAGUCAGGGGUGAAAUCCUGGAGCUCAACUCCAGAACUGCCUUUGAUACUGAGGAUCUUGAGUUCGGAAGAGGCGAGUGGAAUUCCCGGUGUAGCGGUGAAAUGCGCAGAUAUCGGGAGGAACACCUAUGGCGAAGGCAGCUCGCUGGGACGUUACUGACGCUGAGACGCGAAAGCGUGGGGAGCAAACAGG
rnacentral:rRNA from 1 species